rnacentral:rRNA from 1 species
GACGAAGGAUGCAAGCGUUAUCCGGAUUCAUUGGGCUUAAAGGGAGCGUAGGUGGCCUUAUAAGUCAGUGGUGAAAUCUUCGAGCUUAACUCGGAAAUUGCCAUUGAUACUGUAGGGCUUGAGUACAGUUGCUGUGGGCGGAAUAUGACAUGUAGUGGUGAAAUACAUAGAGAUGUCAUAGAACACCGAUUGCGAAGGCAGCUCACAAAACUGUAACUGACACUGAGGCUCGAAAGUGCGGGGAGCAAACAGG